GCCAGCCCCACCCCCCAAGGCUAUAGCCCACCCGUUUUUGUGGCCUUUUUCCGCUGGACGAACUUGGCGCCCCGGCCUUCGGGAGGUUAUUUUUUAGCGCGGCUGUGCCCGUAGCCUAUUUUUGGCACACGGAGGUGCCUCGCAAAGACUCGCGCCAUUCCGAGUCCGGCGGACGAAGUUGGCCAGCCCCACCCCCCAAGGCUAUAGCCCACCCGUUUUUGUGGCCUUUUUCCGCUGGACGGACUUGGCGCCCCGGCCUUCGGGCGGUUAUUUUUGGGCGCGGCUUUGCCCGCGGCCUAUUUUUGGCACACGGAGGCCCCUCGCAAAGUCUCGUGGCAUUCCGAGUCCGGCGGACGAAGUUGGCCAGCCCCACCCCCCAAGGCUAUAGCCCACCCGUUUUUGUUGCCUUUUUCCGCUGGACGAACUUGGUGCCCUGGCCUUUGCGCGGUUAUUUUUGGGCACGGCUUUGCCCACGGCCUAUUUUUGGCACAUGGAGGCCCCUCGCAAAGUCUCGCGGCAUUCCGAGUCCGGAGGACGAACUUGGCGCCCCGGCCUUCGGGCGGUUAUUUUUGGGCACGGCUUUGCUCGCGGCCUAUUUUGGGCACACGGAGGCACCUCGCAAAGUCUCGCGGCAUUCCGUGUCCGGCGGAUGAAGUUGGCCAGUCCCACCCCCCAAGGCUAUAGCCCACCCGUUUUUGUGGCCUUUUUCCGCUGGACGAACUUGGCGCCCCGGCCUUCGGGCUGUUAUUUUUGGGCGUGGCUUUGCCCGCAGCCUAUUUUUGGCACACGGAGGCCCCUCGCAAAGUCUCGCGGCAUUCCGAGUCCGGCGGACGAAGUUGGCCAGCCCCACCCCCCAAGGCUAUAGCCCACCCGUUUUUGUGGCCUUUUUCCGCUGGACGAACUUGGCGCCCCGGUCUUCGGGCGGUUAUUUUUGGGCACGGCUUUGCCCGCGGCCUAUUUUUGGCACAUGGAGUCCCCUCGCAAAGUCUCGCGGCAUUCCGAGUCCGGCGGACGAACUUGGCGCCCCGGCCUUCGGGCGGUUAUUUUUGGGCACGGCUUUGCCCGCGGCCUAUUUUUGGCACACGGAGGCCCCUCGCAAAGUCUCGCGGCAUUCCGAGUCCGGCAGACGAAGUUGGCCAGCCCCACCCCCCAAGGCUAUAGCCCACCCGUUUUUCUGGCCUUUUUCCGCUGGACGAACUUGGCGCCCCGGCCUUCGGGCGGUUAUUUUUGGGCACGGCUUUGCCCGCGGCCUAUUUUUGGCA
rnacentral:lncRNA from 1 species